AGAUCCCAGACCCUUGAGGAGAGGGAGAGAGAGAGUGGGAUGGGGAUCAUCACCCUCCGACUCUCUGAAGAUCUCACAUGAGUUUAACUGUUACUCUCUUGCAAGUGAAUGUACCUCCAGGUCCGAGGAACGCAUCCUAGGACCAUCCUAUAGUCGUAACAAUGCAAGUUCUUCCACCACAAAAUAUGCCCAUAAGCUCCUUGGCUGACGCAACAGUCCCUUCGCCCAAAUCACUCUCUCACUUCCUCGCAGAACUGCCUUCUUCAUGUGCAUAUGGAUGAGAAGCUAGGAUCCUUCAUGCCAGUUACUGUCUCGGUCAUGGCUUCUUCUACCAUUGCACAACCUGAAGGCUUAAUAAUUUCCAGAUCAUUAUCGUUUCUGAAAUAACUCAACCGUUUUGAGGACCCUCUCCCUUUCAGUGAUCCCACCGAAGAUUCAAUGCCGGGCCUGCUCCCAGGCUUCUUCAGACCAAGUUUGUGCAUGUUCAAAUCUAUAGAUCACUGAUAACAUCUUAUUCAAGAAGCAGCUGGUUGAAGGUUUCAGUGAGAUUUGCUUAAUCUAUUCUGGCGGAGAUUGCAGGCGAAUAUUAAAGGAGAAUACACGGAGCACUUGAUGGAUAGAAAACAUGGAAAAGUUGGUUGUGCAAGGAGGCUGAGAGGGUGUUACGGAUGAAAGGGAUGUUGCACCAGGCGAAGAGCUAUGGAGCAUGUUUUGUGGAGGAAGAACUUGCUUUGUGAGUAUGACCCUAGGUUGGACCUCUGAUGGGUUGAUCGUACCUAUAGCUUAGACUAGUGUCCAGUAUUCUUGUCUACCCUCACCGAGUCUCUGUACAUGUAUUUCUUUGUUUUGCCUCUGUACGUGGUUCAAUUAGAGGACUUUGGACAAUAAACAUUUCUACUUUCAGCAUU